rnacentral:rRNA from 1 species
UACAGAGGUCUCAAGCGUUGUUCGGAUUCAUUGGGCGUAAAGGGUGCGUAGGUGGCGCCGUAAGUCAGGUGUGAAAUUUCGGAGCUUAACUCCGAAACUGCAUUUGAUACUGCGGUGCUUGAGGACUGGAGAAGAGACUGGAAUUUACGGUGUAGCAGUGAAAUGCGUAGAGAUCGUAAGGAAGACCAGUGGCGAAGGCGGGUCUCUGGACAGUUCCUGACACUGAGGCACGAAGGCCAGGGAGCAAACGGG